UCUGGUUGAUCCUGCCAGUAGUCAUAUGCUUGUCUCAAAGAUUAAGCCAUGCAUGUUUAAGUAUAAGUGUUAUACAGCGAAACUGCGAAUGGCUCAUUAAAACAGUUAUAGUUUAUUUGAUAAUCGAAUUUACAUGGAUAACCGUGGUAAUUCUAGAGCUAAUACAUGCUGGUGUGCCCGACUUUUGYGGAAGGGCGGUAUUUAUUAGAUAACAAGCCAAUAUUCCUCUGGUCUAUUGUGGUGACUCAUAAUAACUGAUCGAAUCGCAAGGCCUWUGGCCGCGAUAAGUCAUUCAAGUUUCUGCCCCAUCAGCUKUCGAUGGUAGUGUAUUGGACUACCAUGGCGUUUACGGGUAACGGAGGAUUAGGGUUCGAUUCCGGAGAGGGAGCCUGAGAAACGGCUACCACAUCUAAGGAAGGCAGCAGGCGCGUAAAUUACCCAAUCCUGACUCAGGGAGGUAGUGACAAGAAAUAACGGACCGAGKCCUUCGGACUUCGGAAUUGCAAGGAGCCAAAUUUCCCCCCCUUACCAAAAACGAUUGGAGGGCAAGUCUGGUCCCCCGU
rnacentral:rRNA from 1 species